UACAGAGGUGGCAAGCGUUGUUCGGAAUUACUGGGCGUAAAGGGCGCGUAGGCGGCCAUCUAAGUCAGACGUGAAAUCCUCCGGCUUAACCUGGGAACUGCGUCUGAUACUGGACGGCUUGAGUAUGGGAGAGGGAUGUAGAAUUCCAGGUGUAGCGGUGAAAUGCGUAGAUAUCUGGAGGAAUACCGGUGGCGAAGGCGGCAUCCUGGACCAUUACUGACGCUGAGGCGCGAAAGCUAGGGGAGCAAACGGG
rnacentral:rRNA from 1 species